CUACGGGUCGCUCCAGUAGGGAAUUUUCGGCAAUGGGGGAAACCCUGACCGAGCAACGCCGCGUGAAUGACGAAGUACUUCGGUAUGUAAAGUUCUUUUAUCAGGGAAGAAUGACUUAUGGAAAAAUAAGUGUGACGGUACCUGAUGAAUAAGCCCCGGCUAACUAUGUGCCAGCAGCCGCGGUAAUACAUAGGGGGCAAGCGUUAGCCGGAAUUAAUGGGCGUAAAGGGUGCGUAGGUGGUUAGAUAAGUCUUAGGUGUAAGUGCAGAGCUUAACUCUGUGAUGCUAGAGAAACUGUCUGACUUGAGUGUGGUAGAGGCAAGUGGAAUUCCAUGUGUAGCGGUAAAAUGCGUAAAUAUAUGGAGGAACACCAGUGGCGAAGGCGGCUUGCUGGGCCAUAACUGACACUGAGGCACGAAAGCGUGGGGAGCAAACAGGAUUAGAUACCCCAGUAGUC
rnacentral:rRNA from 1 species